rnacentral:misc_RNA from 1 species
AGAGAAGAAACGAAGGGGAAGAAAAAUUAAUGGCACAGAGAAAAACAAAAGGAGAAGAUGAAAUUAAGGGAGCUGGACUGCACUGGUUAGAGAAGAAGUAAGGACAUGAUCGUGGGAGAGGUGGGCGGCAGACUGAUAAAAAUGGAGAAAUAAGGCGGAGAGAAAGUUACGGCUUUAAAGAAUAUAUGUAUUAAUAUAAGAAAUAAG